UGUUGAACGUCGAUCGGAAGCUUAAGCUUGUGAAGACGUCUAAAUAUCCUCUUCUGACUUGAUACGUUACUAGCAGAAUAGACUGCCAGCAACGGACUCCGGUUGCGCAGCUCGUGGCGCACGGACCUCUAUCCUACUCAGAACAAACGCAACUCACAACAAACCGGUACCGAGGAUAUACCUGUGUUUACCUGUUGCACGUGAGCCGUCAAUAACGUAAUACCCAGACUUCUUGUGACGCUGACUGAAGCAAGAAAAUACAGUAAGAAUGGACGAUGAUAUCUUGAAAGACGCGGGUUUAUUCCAUGUCACUCGAAUAUUCACAGAAAAUACUG